CCUACGGGUGGCAGCAGUGGGGAAUAUUGCACAAUGGGGGAAACCCUGAUGCAGCGACGCCGCGUGAGUGAAGAAGUAUUUCGGUAUGUAAAGCUCUAUCAGCAGGGAAGAAAAUGACGGUACCUGAUUAAGAAGCCCCGGCUAACUACGUGCCAGGAGCCGCGGUAAUACGUAGGGGGCAAGCGUUAACCGGAUUUACUGGGGGUAAAGGGAGCGUAGACGGCAGAACAAGUCUGGAGUGAAAUGCCGGGGCUUAACCCGGGAACUGCUUUGGAUACUGGGCAGCUAGAGUGCAGGAGAGGUGAGUGGAAUUCCAAGUGUAGCGGUGAAAUGCGUAGAGAUGAGGAGGAAUACCAGUGGCGAAGGCGGCUUACUGGACUGUAACUGACGUUGAGGCUCGAAAGCGUGGGGAGCAAACAGGAUUAGAUACCCCUGUAGUC
rnacentral:rRNA from 1 species